GCAGUCGUGGCUGAGUGGUUAGCCGAACACACCUGUGUUGUGUUACGUGGGUUCUAAUCCCACCGACUGCC
rnacentral:tRNA from 1 species